GAUGAACGCUGGCGGCGUGCCUAAUACAUGCAAGUCGAGCGAACGGACGAGAAGCUUGCUUUUCUGAUGUUAGCGGCGGACGGGUGAGUAACACGUGGAUAACCUACCUAUAAGACUGGGAUAACUUCGGGAAACCGGAGCUAAUACCGGAUAAUAUUUUGAACCGCAUGGUUCAAAAGUGAAAGACGGUCUUGCUGUCACUUAUAGAUGGAUCCGCGCUGCAUUAGCUAGUUGGUAAGGUAACGGCUUACCAAGGCAACGAUGCAUAGCCGACCUGAGAGGGGGAUCGGCCACACUGGAACUGAGACACGGUCCGGACUCCUACGGGAGGCAGCAGAAGGGAAUCUUCCGCAAUGGGCGAAGGCCUGACGGAGCAACGCGGCGUGAGUGAUGAAGGUCUUCGGAUCGUAAAACUCUGUUAUUAGGGAAGAACAGUUGUGUAAGUAACUGUGCACACCUUGACGGUACCUAAUCAGAAAGCCACGGCUAACUACGUG
rnacentral:rRNA from 1 species